rnacentral:rRNA from 1 species
GGUAAUACGUAGGGUGCGAGCGUUGUCCGGAAUUACUGGGCGUAAAGAGCUCGUAGGCGGUUUGUCACGUCGUCUGUGAAAUCCUAGGGCUUAACCCUGGACGUGCAGGCGAUACGGGCUGACUUGAGUACUACAGGGGAGACUGGAAUUUCUGGUGUAGCGGUGGAAUGCACAGAUAUCAGGAAGAGCACCGAUGGCGAAGGCAGGUCUCUGGGUAGUAACUGACGCUGAGGAGCGAAAGCAUGGGUAGCGAACAGGAUUAGAUACCCUGGUAGUCCAUGCCGUAAACGGUGGGCGCUAGGUGUGAGGGUCUUUCUACGACUUUCGUGCCGUAGCUAACGCAUUAAGCGCCCCGCCUGGGGAGUACGGCCGCAAGGCUAAAACUCAAAGGAAUUGACGGGGGCCCGCACAAGCGGCGGAGCAUGUGGAUUAAUUCGAUGCAACGCGAAGAACCUUACCUGGGCUUGACAUACACCAGAUUGGGCUAGAGAUAGUUCGUCCCUUUGUGGUUGGUGUACAGGUGGUGCAUGGUUGUCGUCAGCUCGUGUCGUGAGAUGUUGGGUUAAGUCCCGCAACGAGCGCAACCCUUGUCUUAUGUUGCCAGCAUUUGGUUGGGGACUCAUGAGAGACUGCCGGGGUUAACUCGGAGGAAGGUGGGGAUGACGUCAAAUCAUCAUGCCCCUUAUGUCCAGGGCUUCACACAUGCUACAAUGGUCGGUACAACGCGUUGCGACACUGUGAGGUGGAGCGAAUCGCUGAAAGCCGGCCUUAGUUCGGAUUGGGGUCUGCAACUCGACCCCAUGAAGUCGGAGUCGCUAGUAAUCGCAGAUCAGCAACGCUGCGGUGAAUACGUUCCCGGGCCUUGUACACACCGCCCGUCACGUCAUGAAAGUUGGUAACACCCGAAGCCGGUGGCCUAAACGUGUUAG